rnacentral:lncRNA from 1 species
ACAGAUUCGACUUGAUGAUCAGCGAUGUCUUCAUGCCGGACAUGGACGGCUUCAAACUCCUUGAGUACGUUGGCUUGGAGAUGGACCUCCCGGUGAUCAGUAAGUUCUUCCUCCAAAGCUCCUGGAACUCGCAAAUGAGAUGAGAGGACAUACAACUUGACAAAGCUCUGACCUUUGCAGUGACGUCCUCGAACGGAGAAACCGGCAUUGUGAUGAAGGGUGUCAUCCACGGGGCCUGCGAUUACCUCAUCAAGCCGGUCAGGACGGAGGAGCUCCGGAACAUCUGGCAGC